GCUUCACAUUCCUGUCCAGUUGGUGGCGCUGAUGCACGAGAUCUGUUGUUAACUGGACUUUGAUUUUCUCCAAGAUGAAGUCGUGUCAGGUGACAAACAUCAAUCGUGAAGAUCGCACAGGUGUUUAACAGCGAUCACAAACCGGAAGUGUGUGAAAGACUUCUGGAUUCUGUUCCUGCAGCACAAGAUCGUCUGAACUACUGCAAGUCAUGAUGAGCAUCUGAUCAUCUUCAGAGACACAAAGAUCUCAGUGUUGAGCUGUUCAUCUGCAGUAUGUCAGAGAAGAGAGGAAAGAUGAGUCUCUCACACAAACAGAGUGUAAGAUCAGACUCACAUGUGUCCAGCUCUGUGUCUGUGAAGAGUGACCCC